GACGAACGCUGGCGGCGUGCUUAACACAUGCAAGUCGAGCGGUAAGGCCCUUUCGGGGGUACACGAGCGGCGAACGGGUGAGUAACACGUGGGUGACCUGCCCUUAGCUCUGGGAUAAGCCUGGGAAACUGGGUCUAAUACCGGAUAUGACUCCAUAAACGCAUGUUGUGGGGUGGAAAGCCUUGUGCGGCUAGGGAUGGGCCCGCGGCCUAUCAGCUUGUUGGUGGGGUGAUGGCCACCAAGGCGACGACGGGUAGCCGGCCUGAGAGGGCGACCGC
rnacentral:rRNA from 1 species